rnacentral:rRNA from 1 species
UUUAAGAUUUUUUAGUUAAAAAUUAAUAAAAAUAAUUUUAAUUUUAAUUUUAAUUUAAGUAUAUUUUAUAGAAAAAAGUUUAUUAAUUAUAGUUUAUUUGUAUUGUAAAAGAAUAUUGAAAUAUUUUUUUUAAUUUUGUAAAAGUAAAAUUAAUUUUUUGUACCUUGUGUAUCAGGGUUUAUUAAAUAAAUAUUAAGUAUAUUAAUUUUCUCGAUUUUAAGAGAGUUAAUAAAUUAUUUUUUUUAUUGUAAAAAAAAUAUUUAAAAUAAUUUAUUAGUAAUGAAAUGUUAUUCGUUCUUAAAAAUAUCUAGUUUAUUUAGAAAUGAAUUUAAUUCAGUUAUUGAAAUUUUUAUGAGUUAAUUUUUUAACUUAUAAAUAAAUUAAUAAUAAUAAUUAAAGGGAUAAGCUUUUAAUUAAAAAAUUAUAAAUUAUAGAAUAAAUUUUAAAAAUGUAAGUUUAGAAAUAUCUAUCAAUAAUAAUUUGUUAUAAUUAAUUAAUUUAAAAUUAUAUUAUUUUAUAAUAUUUUAAUUUUUUUAUAAAUAAAUAAAUUUUAAUAAUUUAAAUUUAGUUAUAAUGAUAAAAUUAGUAUAAAUUUUAAUAUUUAAAUAAUAAAAUUUUAAAGAUUAUUUAAAGGAAUUCGGCAAAAAUUUUACUCGCCUGUUUAACAAAAACAUGUCCUUUAGAUUAUAAAUUUAAGGUCUAACCUGCCCACUGAAAAUUUUAAAUGGCCGCAGUAAUUUGACUGUGCAAAGGUAGCAUAAUCAUUAGUUUUUUAAUUAAAAGCUUGUAUGAAAGGUUGGACGAAGUAAAAUCUGUCUCUAUUUAAUUUAAUAUAGAAUUUAAUUUUUAAGUUAAAAAGCUUAAAUAAAAAUAAAAGACGAGAAGACCCUAUAGAGCUUUAUAAUUUUUUUUAUAUAAUUAAUUAAGAUUAAUUUAAGUUUUAUUAGAAAAAUUAUUUUAUUGGGGUAAUAGAAAGAUUUAAUAAAUUCUUUUUUUAUAUAUACAUUAAUUUAUGAAAUUAAUGAUCCAUUUUUAAUGAUUAAAAGAUUAAGUUACCUUAGGGAUAACAGCGUAAUUUUUUUAGAGAGUUCAUAUCGAUAAAAAAGUUUGCGACCUCGAUGUUGGAUUAAAGAUUAUUUUAGGUGUAGAAGUUUAAAAUUUUGGUCUGUUCGACCAUUAAAUCUUUACAUGAUCUGAGUUCAGACCGGUGUAAGCCAGGUCGGUUUCUAUCUUUAUUAAUUUAAAAUAUUUUAGUACGAAAGGACCAAAUAUUUGAUAUAUUUAUAUUUAUAUUUUGAAUAUUAUUAAAUUUAGUUAAAU